AUUGAACGCUGGCGGCAGGCCUAACACAUGCAAGUCGAGCGAGCGGAGGGCGGUUGAGAAAUGUCUGGGUAUAGCCCAGUCGAGGGGGAUAACAGUGGGAAACGACCGCCAAACGCCCAUACGAUUCGAGUGCGCAGGUGGGAUUAGUUAGUUGGUGGGGUAAUGGCUCACCAAGGCGACGAUCCCUAGCUGGUCUGAGAGGAUGAUCAGCCACACUGGAACUGAGACACGGUCCAGACUCCUACGGGAGGCAGCAGUGGGGAAUAUUGCACAAUGGGGGAAAGCCUGAUGCAGCCAUGCCGCGUGUGUGAAGAAGGCCUGCGGGUUGUAAAGCACUUUCAGCUGGGAGGCGUUACUCGCAGAAGAAGCACCGGCUAACUCCGUGCCAGUAGCCGCGGUAAUUC
rnacentral:rRNA from 1 species